UACAUACUUCUUCAUAUACCCAU
rnacentral:miRNA from 1 species